rnacentral:sRNA from 1 species
GGCUUCGUAUUAGGGUUCGUGGGAGGAAAAAAAGAUGUUUUUGUUCGAUUAGAAGCGGCAGGGUUCUUGGAUGAAGAACAUCGACUUGCAAUAAGGCACUAGAACUUCAUCGUUGGAAAGUGGAAGAACAAAGGAAAAUGGAAGAGGCACAAUUAACUAAAGAAACAACAUUGUCAAUGGAUGAGAAAGAGAAAGCAAAAUGUGUAGCUACCGUGGAAGAAGCAGAAACAUCUCGAAAAAUUGUAGAGUUGGAAGCACGAAUAUAAUGACUGUAGAAUCUGGGCAUAAUAAGAAGACAACAAAUAUGUUUUCACACUGUCCCACCAGGUACAUAAAUACACUAUAGAGGAAAUAGAAGAAGCAACAAAUUUAUUUUCAAACUCUCUCAAGGUUGGUGAAGGUGGUUAUGGGCCAAUCUACAUAUGUGAACUAGAUCACACACCAGUUGCAGUGAAGAUAUUGAAACCUGAUGCAGCUCAGGGACAAACACAGUUUCAGCAGGAGGUAUGGAAAACGCAAGAUUUCGAAUUGCUGCAGAGAUUGCCUCUUUCGGAGGGGCAACAAAAGAGCUCUUUCAUGGCCGCUGAGAUUCUGAAUUGCUGAAGAGAUUGCAAUUGGGCUCCUUUUCCUACACCAGACAAAACCAGAACCACUUAACUCCCCGUUGUUGAAAGCUUGCCGCCGGUUCGUAGUCGUCGAAUGGUCGCCGCCGUUGAAGGCUCGCCGACGUCGAAGGAUCCAUUGAAGACUCGUUUUUCCACUCCUGGUUGUCAUCGAACUGUCGAAGGCUCUACCACCGUCGAAAGUUCUGAGAACACUUUUCUUUAGCUAGAAAGAGAAGCAUAGGGAUAUCACCUAAGUGGAGAUGAGUCAGAUUACUAGGGCAU